rnacentral:rRNA from 1 species
AGUGAACGCUGGCGGUAGGCCUAACACAUGCAAGUCGAACGGCAGCACAGUAAGAGCUUGCUCUUACGGGUGGCGAGUGGCGGACGGGUGAGGAAUACAUCGGAAUCUACUUUUUCGUGGGGGAUAACGUAGGGAAACUUACGCUAAUACCGCAUACGACCUACGGGUGAAAGCAGGGGAUCUUCAGACCUUGCGCGAUUGAAUGAGCCGAUGUCGGAUUAGCUAGUUGGCGGGGUAAAGGCCCACCAAGGCGACGAUCCGUAGCUGGUCUGAGAGGAUGAUCAGCCACACUGGAACUGAGACACGGUCCAGACUCCUACGGGAGGCAGCAGUGGGGAAUAUUGGACAAUGGGCGCAAGCCUGAUCCAGCCAUACCGCGUGGGUGAAGAAGGCCUUCGGGUUGUAAAGCCCUUUUGUUGGGAAAGAAAAGCAGCAGGCUAAUACCCCGCUGUUCUGACGGUACCCAAAGAAUAAGCACCGGCUAACUUCGUG